AAUUUAGCAAUUAUUUUGGGAUGUUUAUCACACUGGAUCCAUAUAAGCUACUGUACUGCUCAUUUUUACUCUAGACUGUCAUCAUCCUCAAGAACGUUUGAUCAGUAGUCCUCUGGAUGUUGCAGAAGUCCCAUCUCCUCUCCUUCCCAGGGAGAACAGGCAACGGCCAUGGCAGAUGUAAUUAACCAAAUCUGGCAGACCAGGGUAAUGGUUUCUGCUGGGAGGAAAAAUUUCUGCUGGGAGGAAAAAUUCCUCAAAUUCAAAGCAAGAAGGACAGGCAUCUGCCAGAGUUUGUUUGUUUUGAAAAUUUACAGUACCUUGUGAAGAAACUUGCUGUGCCAGAAAAACUGAAAGCAAAAGUAGGGAGGUCCAAUAUAUAUUCCAUGCCAUGGUGAGUUGUUGGGGUUGUGUCUUUCCUUAAACAAAAUAAAAAUAUUUUUUUUCAUUACA
rnacentral:lncRNA from 1 species